GCCAGUCGGGAUCGUCAACCCUGAACUGAACCCCCAAAACUGGAAGACCACUCUUAGUCUGGCCUCUACCCUUUGACCUGUUUGGCAUGGGAGACCCUACCAACAGCUAAAGCAUGAAACCCUGACUCCAGCUCUCUGGGUCAAUGAGCCUUGCAAGUCUCCAAACCAAGACUAGGUUGUGGUCCUCUUGGAGAAAGAAUAUGUGAUUAAGAAAAAGGAAGAAAUCAAAAGAAGACAAAUUGUAUUUGUUAAAAGUCUCAUUAAGAUCUGAUGCCACAAAAAAAAACAUACUAAGAUGAAGAAGGGGAAGUGAUGAUCCGCUCCUGUUAGACCGUUUGAGGGAAUUUAUUUUUUUAAUCUUACUUACUUCCCUUCUAUCUGUGUAUAUCUGUGCACCUGUAAUGCUACUGUGGCACUGUCAUUUCUGUUGGGAUCAACAAUCUAUAUCAAUAAACAAAAACACAAUAAAUAUAAAUACAUAAGAUAGCUUAUAUACAUACAUUGAUUGUAUAUCCAUAAAAUGAUGCUUGUAAUGGAUUCUUCAGUUAAAUCGAAGUUUAAAUCCACCUUCUAGCUAUUCUCCCUCUCCCCAGCUUUUUAUUCUGGCAUUUUGCCCCCUUCCUUUCUGGUCCUGAUGAAGGAUAUUGGCUGUUUAUUCCUUUCCACAGAUACUGCCUGCCCUGCUGAGUUCUUCCUGCAUUUUGCUUUGGAUUUCCCUCACUUGUAGAAAUUCUCACGUUUAAAUCCAAGGUUCUUUUAGAAGAAAGGAAAGAGGCAUAAAACUUGUUGCUUCAUGAUUGUUUUAUUAAGAGUUGAUAGAACAACGGAAACAGACGCAGAAGGCUUACAGACAAGAGACCAAGAAGAUUAAGACUCUCCCACCAUUGGAAACAUCCUCUUCACAUCCACUCUACCGAGGCCUUCCAACAUUCGACACGUUGCAAUGAGGUCACCUCUGAAUCCCGGUAGCCACAAAGCAAGAAACCCAAAAGAGCCCAGUGGAAAAAAAAUAAAGACCAACACCCGAAGGAGUAAAAGACACAAAUUAUUCAAACAAUAGAAAUGAGCAACAACCAUCUGAACCAAAUUGACUCCCUAGAACUGAACUCCGGAGAGGCUCGGAGUAGGCCCAAAGCCUUGGGGUCAGUUCAUCAUAUCAGCAGGUAUGAAGCACAGCAGCCGGGGCAGUCCCAACAGUCUCAGGGCCACGGAGAGAGGAGUGAACAUCGCGGAAAACGAAUAAGAUUGGCUCUUACCUCAGAAUAGAACCAUGAGAAAUGGUGGAGCAGACUCAAUGCGCUGAAUGGCCUAAUUCUGCUCCUAUGUCUUAUGGUUUUAUGGUAGAUUUGAUGAUUUGGUCCAUCUAUUUCGCAUCGGUGUGCAGACAUGGCGGAGAAGCAGCAACCGGAAAUGUGUAGGAGGAAACGCAAUGCUACCAAGCGGACAAAUCACAGCUGUUGCGGUCUGCGUCGCUGCGAUGGGUGAGUUACUUUUUCGGGGAUGUGCAUGUUACCCUACGGCGUAGGGCACGUGGUACCUACGGUGUAGAUGCAACGCAGAAGUAUAAAUCAGACUUAAGGCGCUCCUUCCCUCCACUAGCCUGCAGGUAGCCCUUGGGCAAGGUGUAGCACCUGCUUAGCCCCCCGAUCAGGGUCAUGUGAGCAGCUGGUGGAUGGUCGUAUGAGCAGCUGGUGCACAUCACAAGUCCUGGUUGUGGUAAGGAUGGUUCCCAUGGUGGGAGAGUCUAGGACAAGAGGGCACAGCCUCAGAAUAGAGGGGCGCCCUUUCAAAACAGAGAUGCAGAGAAAUUUCUUUCACCAAAGGGUGGUGAAUUUGUGGAAUUUGUUGCCACAUGCAGCUGUGGAAGCCAGGAUAUUGGGUGUACUUAAGGCAGAGAUUGAUAGGUUCUUGAUUGGACAUGGCAUCAAAGGUUACGGGGAGAAGGAUGGGAGCUGGGGUUGAGGAGGAGAUAGAAACAGAAUCAACAAACUCAUUCGUAAGGCCAGUGAUGUUGUGGGGGUGGAACCGGACUCUCUGACGGUGGUAUCUGAAAAGAGGAUGCUGUCCAAGUUGCAUGCCAUCUUGGACAAUGACUCCCAUCCACUCCAUAAUGUACUGGUUAGGCACAGGAGUACAUUCAGCCAGAGACUCAUUCCACCGAGAUGCAACACUGAGUGUCAUAGGAAGUCAUUCCUACCUGUGGCCAUCAAACUUUACAACUCCUCCCUCGGAGUGUCAGACACCCUGAGCCAAUAGGCUGGUCCCGGACUUAUUUCCACUGGGCAUGAUUAACUUAUUAUUGUUUAAUUAUUUAUGGUUUUAUAUUGCUAUAUCUCUACACUAUUCUUGGUUGGCGUGGCUGUAAUGAAACCCAA